rnacentral:rRNA from 1 species
GUAGGGGGCAAGCGUUAUCCGGAUUUACUGGGUGUAAAGGGAGCGUAGACGGAUGUGCAAGUCUGAAGUGAAAGCCCGGGGCUCAACCCCGGGACUGCUUUGGAAACUGUGUAUCUAGAGUGCCGGAGAGGUAAGCGGAAUUCCCAGUGUAGCGGUGAAAUGCGUAGAUAUUGGGAGGAACACCAGUGGCGAAGGCGGCUUACUGGACGGUAACUGACGUUGAGGCUCGAAAGCGUGGGGAGC